UACAGAGGGGGCAAGCGUUGUUCGGAAUUACUGGGCGUAAAGGGCGCGUAGGCGGCCUUCUAAGUCGAACGUGAAAUCCCUGGGCUCAACCCAGGAACUGCGUCCGAUACUGGAAGGCUUGAAUCCGGGAGAGGGAUGCGGAAUUCCAGGUGUAGCGGUGAAAUGCGUAGAUAUCUGGAGGAACACCGGUGGCGAAGGCGGCAUCCUGGACCGGUAUUGACGCUGAGGCGCGAAAGCCCAGGGGAGCAAAGCGGGG
rnacentral:rRNA from 1 species